rnacentral:rRNA from 1 species
CUACGGGGUGCUGCAGUGAGGAAUAUUGGACAAUGGUCGAAAGACUGAUCCAGCCAUGCCGCGUGCAGGAUGACUGCCCUAUGGGUUGUAAACUGCUUUUAUACGGGAAGAAAAACACCUACGUGUAGGUGACUGACGGUACCGUAAGAAUAAGGACCGGCUAACUCCGUGUCAGCAGCCGCGGUAAUACGGAGGGUCCAAGCGUUAUCCGGAAUCAUUGGGUUUAAAGGGUCCGUAGGCGGGCUAUUAAGUCAGAGGUGAAAGUUUGCAGCUCAACUGUAAAAUUGCCUUUGAUACUGAUAGUCUUGAAUUGUAGUGAAGUGGUUAGAAUAUGUGGUGUAGCGGUGAAAUGCAUAGAUAUCACAUAAAAUACCGAUUGCGAAGGCAGAUCACUAACUAUAUAUUGACGCUGAGGGACGAAAGCGUGGGGAGCGAACGGGAUUAGAUACCCCGGUAGUC